rnacentral:rRNA from 1 species
AUGGUUAACGUUAUGAUGAAGACCAAUCCUGACCCAGUGGUUCUAGCUAAAGCCAUGAAAGCUAGAAAAAGCGUUGUGCAAAUCUAUCACGUCAAGAAAAUUGAUGGGAAGAAGUGCACCACUAGCUCCGGCACUGGUUUCAUCAUCAAGACCAGAGAUGCAGAUUGUGUUGUGGUAACUAACAGGCACGUGACUGCUGGAAAGGAACCUUUCGACGAAGCUAAUGACAAGCUCUUUGUUAGAUUUAUCCGUGGGAGUGGUGGAGUUGAGGACCGACCUGGUCUUCUAAGGUUUUAUGACUUCUUCGUGGACCUUGCUUUUAUUGAAGUCCAAGGACUGAGGGGGAAAAUGCCACCAGCUCUACGUUUUACUAUGGCAAGUGAAUUGCAAAUUGGGACAAGUGUUGUUGCCAUUGGCUACUGCAAUACAAGUGGCGUGACACGGCCAGAUCCAGAUAUGCCUGAAGUUUAUGCUAGGAUUCCAUCGGUUUGCCCUGCAUUGAUUGCUGGACCAGUGUGGCGAAAGGGAGAAGAUGACAAGGAUGAGGAAGAGGAAGACGAUGAAGAAGAAGACGAGGAUGAAGGGCACGAACAGUGGCUGCACCUUGACUCUCCAUCGAGGGAUGGAUGCUCAGGAGGCCCUGUGAUGUGCGCGCGUGGUGUCAUUGGAGUCGUUGCUCAGGCUGCCCUACAGAUUACUGCGUCCGUUAGCACUGAAUCAGUACAUGAAGUGCUGAAACGGUGGCUCGGCAUUCCAUUGGAGGAUGACAGGAGUGUGCAGGCGAUCAUCGAUACAUUACUGUGA